ensembl:miRNA
CCCAAUGAGAUUUCAAACUGAGAAAUGGAAACUCAGUUUGAAAUCUCAUUGGACA